rnacentral:lncRNA from 1 species
AUUCUUAGAGCACCGUAAAGGAAGUUAACAGCCAUGUCAUUCACUCUGUCUCAAAAAUUUUUUUCUCGUGGAUCAGAGUUUGAAAAAUGUUUUUUUUUUUUUUUUAAACUUUUUUUGCAAAAAAAUCCCUAAAAAGAUUUGUUCCUUCCUACGGAGAGCUUGCCAAAAUUCUUUAGCCACCAGAUAAAAUUGUUCCGCCGAAAUUGUGCUGAAUCAUCUCUUUGUCCUCGUCAUUCUAAAGUAGAAUCUGUUGAACAUGUGCUUCUGUUUUGUGAUCAUGCUUGGCUCUCCGGGUUUAGUUCAAAUUUGGAUAUCACUUCUGGUGAGGUUGGUUUUGUUUCUCAAACAGAUUGCUAGAACAAUCUCUUCCAAAGUUCAUCUCAGAGAGAUCAGUCAGUAGUGAUGAUGGUUGGCCUGCUUUGCUGGUAGAUAUGGAAAUCUCGAAAUAUUGUUGUGUGUGAGCUCACUCAGGUGAACCCCUCUCCUCUGUCACCAUCUCCAAAGCUAUGAAAGAUUUUUCUGAAUCGGCCAUCGUAGUCGGGAUCCCAGUCGAGUUCUACCUGUUUUCAAAAUCCUGCUCAGCUUUUUUGGUCUUCGUGGACCCCUCCGAGUUCUGGUUUUAUUAAAGCAAAUUCUUGAAUCUUCUAAGGCAGGCUUUGGUGUUAUUUUGCAGG